GAUGAAGAACGCAGCGAAAUGCGAUAAGUAAUGUGAAUUGCAGAAUUCAGUGAAUCAUCGAAUCUUUGAACGCACAUUGCGCCCCCUGGUAUUCCGGGGGGCAUGCCUGUUCGAGCGUCAUUUCAACCCUCAAGCUCAGCUUGGUGUUGGGCCCCGCCGCCCCGGCGGGCCCUAAAGUCAGUGGCGGUGCCGUCCGGCUCCGAGCGUAGUAAUUCUUCUCGCUCUGGAGGUCCGGUCGUGUGCUCGCCAGCAACCCCCAAUUUUUUUCAGGUUGACCUCGGAUCAGGUAGGGAUACCCGCUGAACUUAAGCAUAUCAAUAAGCGGAGGA
rnacentral:misc_RNA from 1 species